UUGUGGGAAGCAGGUGUCAAUCCAAGGGGUCUCCCAAUCAGAUAUGGCAAACUGAUAUAACAGAAUGUGACCUAUUAAAACCAAAUAAAUACCUCAUAGUAACCAUUGACACCUUUAGCUCUACAAUAUUAGCCACGAUGGCUCGCAAACAAACAGCCAAACACAUUAUUGCUCAUUGGGAGAGCGUCAUUGCCUUAUGAGGGAAGCCACAAGAAAUCAAGACAGAUAAUGGCCCUUGUUUCAUUUCUAAACGUACCAAAGAAUGGUGUGCAUUAUGGGACAUCAAGUUAGUGCAUGGCCUUCCUUACAACAGUCAAGGACAAGCAAUAGUAGAAUGUGCACAUCGCACCCUAAAAGCAAAACUGCAACAGCUUGGGAAGGGGGAAGGUCAUAAGGGGACAAUACCCAUAGACUGACAGCAGACUCUUUUGUCCCGCGCCUUUUAUGCUCUAAAUCACUUUGUUAAGAGGCGACAAGUCCACACCUCCCCUGUAGAAACACUUUAUGCCAACCCAGGCGACAAGAAACUAUCCCUUGGUUCAGAUCAAGGAACUGCAACCAAUGACAUGGGAGUCGGGCUGGUCACUGAGAGUGUUUGGGCGUGGGUAUGCAGCAGUGGAAAAGGAUGGUUUAGUUAAAUGGAUACCUGCACGAUGCCGCACGGGGAAGCCAGCAGU